GAUGAACGCUGGCGGCGUGCCUAAUACAUGCAAGUCGAGCGAACAGACGAGGAGCUUGCUCCUCUGACGUUAGCGGCGGACGGGUGAGUAACACGUGGAUAACCUACCUAUAAGACUGGGAUAACUUCGGGAAACCGGAGCUAAUACCGGAUAAUAUAUUGAACCGCGUGGUUCAAUAGUGAAAGACGGUUUUGCUGUCACUUAUAGAUGGAUCCGCGCCGCAUUAGCUAGUUGGUAAGGUAACGGGUUACCAAGGCUACGAUGCGUAGCCGACCGGAGAGGGUGAUCGGCCACACUGGAACUGAGACACGGUCCAGACUCCUACGGGAGGCAGCAGUAGGGAAUCUUCCGCAAUGGGCGAAAGCCUGACGGAGCAACGCCGCGUGAGUGAUGAAGGUCUUCGGAUCGGAAAACUCUGUUAUUAGGGAAGAACAAAUGUGUAAGUAACUAUGCACGUCUUGACGGUACCUAAUCAGAAAGCCACGGCUAACUACGUG
rnacentral:rRNA from 1 species